GAGUUUGAUCCUGGCUCAGGACGAACGCUGGCGGCGUGCUUAACACAUGCAAGUCGAACGAUGAAGCCCUUCGGGGUGGAUUAGUGGCGAACGGGUGAGUAACACGUGGGCAAUCUGCCCUUCACUCUGGGACAAGCCCUGGAAACGGGGUCUAAUACCGGAUACCACCUUCCGAGGCAUCUUGGGGGGUUGAAAGCUCCGGCGGUGAAGGAUGAGCCCGCGGCCUAUCAGCUUGUUGGUGGGGUGAUGGCCUACCAAGGCGACGACGGGUAGCCGGCCUGAGAGGGCGACCGGCCACACUGGGACUGAGACACGGCCCAGACUCCUACGGGAGGCAGCAGUGGGGAAUAUUGCACAAUGGGCGAAAGCCUGAUGCAGCGACGCCGCGUGAGGGAUGACGGCCUUCGGGUUGUAAACCUCUUUCAGCAGGGAAGAAGCGCAAGUGACGGUACCUGCAGAAGAAGCGCCGGCUAACUACGUGCCAGCAGCCGCGGUAAUACGUAGGGCGCAAGCGUUGUCCGGAAUUAUUGGGCGUAAAGAGCUCGUAGGCGGCUUGUCACGUCGGAUGUGAAAGCCCGGGGCUUAACCCCGGGUCUGCAUUCGAUACGGGCUAGCUAGAGUGUGGUAGGGGAGAUCGGAAUUCCUGGUGUAGCGGUGAAAUGCGCAGAUAUCAGGAGGAACACCGGUGGCGAAGGCGGAUCUCUGGGCCAUUACUGACGCUGAGGAGCGAAAGCGUGGGGAGCGAACAGGAUUAGAUACGCUUGGUAGUGCACGCCGUAUCAGUUGUCAGUUAGGUGUCAGAGACAUUCCUUGUCGUCGGUUGUUCAGCUAGAGCAUUAAGUUCUCCGCCUGGGGAGUACGAAUUGCAAUGUUAAAAUUCAAAGGAAUAGACGGGGGGUAUCACAAGCAGCGGAGCAUUAAGCUUAAUUGCUUUCACAUCCGAAGAACCAACCAAGGCUUGACAUAUACCGGAAAGCAUCAGAGAUGGUGCCCCCCUUGUGGUCGGUAUACAGGUGGUGCAUGGCUGUAGUCAGCCUCGUGUCGUGAGACAGGGGUUAAGUCCCGCAACGAGCGCAACCGAAAGAGGCAGUCACCAUGGGGUGGGUCCUGCCUCUCGGCAGGAACUUCCGUCGGCAAUUCGGAGGAAGGUCGGGAUGACGCCAAGUCCUCUUGGGCAGGAUUGUGUGGCGUACACCCGUGCCACAAUGGCGGUUACAAUUGUCAGCCAAGGCGCGAGUCGUAGCUAAUGUCAAAAAUCCGUCCUACUGCAAAUUGCUAGGUGCAACUCUCGUCCAUGAAGCUGGAAUCUUUCGUAAUCGCGGAUCAGCUCGGAAGGUGAAUACGUUUCCGGACCUUGUACACCAGGGCCGUCACAGCAUGAGAGUCAUUUGACCCGAAGCCGGUGCGCCAAUCCCUCUUUGGAGGGGAGGUAACGGUUCACGGUCAGGUCAGCGACUGGGGAGAAGUCGUAACAAGGUAGCCGUCGGGGAACGAGCGACUCAUCAUCUCGAGGAUAAUCCUCGACCGCAGCCGA
rnacentral:rRNA from 1 species